rnacentral:rRNA from 1 species
UGAGGAAUAUUGGUCAAUGGGCGAGAGCCUGAACCAGCCAAGUAGCGUGCAGGAUGACGGCCCUAUGGGUUGUAAACUGCUUUUAUAAGGGAAUAAAGUGAGUCUCGUGAGACUUUUUGCAUGUACCUUAUGAAUAAGGACCGGCUAAUUCCGUGCCAGCAGCCGCGGUAAUACGGAAGGUCCGGGCGUUAUCCGGAUUUAUUGGGUUUAAAGGGAGCGUAGGCCGGAGAUUAAGCGUGUUGUGAAAUGUAGGCGCUCAACGUCUGCACUGCAGCGCGAACUGGUUUCCUUGAGUACGCACAAAGUGGGCGGAAUUCGUGGUGUAGCGGUGAAAUGCUUAGAUAUCACGAAGAACUCCGAUUGCGAAGGCAGCUCACUGGAGCGCAACUGACGCUGAAGCUCGAAAGUGCGGGUAUCGAACAGG